UACGUAGGUGGCAAGCGUUGUCCGGAUUUACUGGGCGUAAAGAGCGCGCAGGCGGUCGUUCAAGUCGCGUGUGAAAGCCCCCGGCUCAACUGGGGAGGGUCACGCGAUACUGAUCGACUGGAAGGCAGGAGAGGGUAGUGGAAUUCCCGGUGUAGUGGUGAAAUGCGUAGAUAUCGGGAGGAACACCAGUGGCGAAGGCGACUACCUGGCCUGUUCUUGACGCUGAGGCGCGAAAGCCAGGGGAGCGAACGGG
rnacentral:rRNA from 1 species